UUUAUAGACAAUGUCAUUAGCCCUAUACUGUCCUGUGUGGCUCCUGAUUGGCAGUGCUCCUAAUUGCACCACCCCAAGAAAAUGCACUGAGAGAAAACAGCAACACACAGAGCAGGUGCAAUGAGACUAUCAUAGAACCAAGGAAGUCAAACUGGACUCCUUUCCUGUUUUCUGUUCGUUGGCUCUGAGGAGAAGAAGCUCCUGGCUGCCAUGAUGUUCUGGCCAAUCCCCCCUUCCCCCUGGUGAAAGUAGCC